rnacentral:misc_RNA from 1 species
ACACUCAUCCACACACACAAACACACGGGGUGUCGUGCCUGCCCUUCGCGGCAGGUGCGCACCGCGAGUAACACACGGUUUAAGUCGUUUGUUGUUACCCUUGAAACCACAGUUUGAUUUCUCUCUUUGCAUCGCUUUGAAAGGGGCCCGGCACGCGUGCAAGUCGCGCGUGGCGCGGUUUCGUCAAAUCGACACAAACAAAAAAAAGAAAAUCA